UGGAUGAUGAAGAGGCUGAGUGGGUGGGAGAAUUCGUCCAGUCCCUCACUCUCCUUAAACUGGAUCCAUUCCACCUGUAUCUGGUUUAUAAAGGAGCAACAAGAAAAACAAGAACUAAAAGUACAAAUUCUAUUCUCAAUGAAAAUAUGGCCCUGAAACACAAUAUAUACAUGGAAAGGAAGCCAAAUUCAGUGAAGAACAAACAGGGAACAGACAGGCACCGAGGCAAAAAUGCCCACAACUACAAAUCAUGGAUCAAGUCAGAGAAAUAGCAUUCUCUGAAGAGACAUUUUCCCGGGAACAAAACUAACAAUCUAUUAUUUGAAACCAAAGGUCUGUGUGCCCCAGGAAUUGGCAGUGGGUCUAUUCCAGGAACUGGGUGGUGAUAAGAAGCUGGAGAGGUGUGGCCGGAUAAAGAACAGCCAGGCACUUUUACCUUAUGUGAAGGACCCUAUCACAGACAAACUAUUGGGAGUUAUAUGGAACUUCACUGAGAAAAAAGGAAGAUUUUUGUUAUGCUGAAAUAGAGCUCUGGUCCAUCACCAAGAGGAAACUCCUCAGUCUGUCCAGGAAGAGCUCAUGUUAUGAAAAAAAUAAAUAAUGGUGAAAAACAUAAAAAGAAAACAGCACAGGAAUUAUAAAAUAAUAUGGCAAAAUAAGAGAGGGUAAGGGACAGAAAAAAUUAAUAGCAGAAACAGAAUAAAAACUGCUUCCAUGAAGCAAAUGAAAGUUGUGACCAUACUGCUGAUUAAGAAUAAUCUGUAUGAUGAGGAGAUCACCUCUGUAUGAGAAGAAUUCAAAGUAGAAAUACAAGAGCUAAGGGUAGCUAUGUUGAGACAACAUAAAGUCACAAAAUAUAAGCUAUCAAAGUUCAGGAAAGAAAUUCAACAAUAACAGCAAAAAAAAUGCAAAAAGAAGCCUGGACACUGCUAACUACUCGUUCAUGGACAAUGUGGAAGUCUUGGAUCCCCCCAGAGAACAGGUCACCAGAGCAGCAAAUGAGGGACCGCACCCCAGCCCAUCUUCACAACCGUGGAAAAGCCACCCUCAUUUUCCUGACAUCACCUGAGCAUCCCCUCUCUACCAUUGACUGCAUUUUCUGGACUCACCUG